rnacentral:rRNA from 1 species
CCUACGGGAGGCAGCAGUGGGGAAUAUUGCACAAUGGGGGAAACCCUGAUGCAGCGACGCCGCGUGAGUGAAGAAGUAUUUCUGUAUGUAAAGCUCUAUCAGCAGGGAAGAAAAUGACAGUACCUGACCAAGACGCCCCGGCUAACUCCGUGCCAGCAGCCGCGGUAAUACGGAGGGGGCAAGCGUUAUCCGGAUUUACGGGGUGUAAAGGGAGCGUAGACGGUUAUGUAAGUCUGGAGUGAAAGCCCGGGGCCCAACCCCGGGACUGCUUUGGAAACUGUGUAACUGGAGUGCAGGUGGGGCAGGCGGAAUGCCUGGUGUAGCGGUGAAAUGCGUAGAUAUUAGGAGGAACACCGGUGGCGAAGGCGGCUUACUGGACCGUAACUGACGUUGAGGCUCGAAAGCGUGGGGAGCAAACAGGAUUAGAUACCCUGGUAGUC